UACGAAGGGGAGCUAGCGUUGUUCGGAUUUACUGGGCGUAAAGCGCGCGUAGGCGGAUCGCUAAGUCAGGGGGUGAAAUCCCCAGGGCUCAACCCUGGAACUGCCUUUGAUACUGACGGUCUGGGAGAUCGGGGAGAGGUUGGUGGAAUUCCGAGUGUAGAGGUGAAAUUCGUAGAUAUUCGGAGGAACACCAGAAGCGAAGGCGGCCAACUGGCCCGGAUACUGACGCUGAGGCGCGAAAGCGUGGGGAGCAAACAGG
rnacentral:rRNA from 1 species